rnacentral:rRNA from 1 species
AUGGCGGCGCCGGCGAGCCCUGGCGAGGGCAUGGACGUGGAGGUGGAAGCCUUCCUUGCGUCCUCCGCAGCGUCCGCGUACGGCGCAGCCGAGGCCCUGCUCCAGCGCCUCGACGCCCCCGCCUCCCGCGCAGCCGCACGGCGCCUCCUCGGCGCCGUGCGCCGCCGUUUCGCGGAUCCCGCCGCCGGACAGGACUAUGUCCGCGCCUUCAACUUCCGCAUCAUCCCCGACGACCCGCACCUACAACAACAAGGAUUUCAGCAAAUAACAACGAUCGAGAUGCCUGGCAUUUUUGUUCCUUGCUCUGCCGCGUUCUACGAGGGCCUCGGACAGCAACCGGACUCCAUUUUCAGAGACAAGACAGUGGCAGAGCUGGGAUGUGGCAACGGAUGGAUGUCCAUUGCGCUUGCACAAAGGUGGUCUCCUUUCAAGGUCUAUGGUCUGGAUAUAAACCCAAGAGCUAUCAAGAUUGCAAGGAUAAACCUUUACCUGAACGCACUAGACGAUGAUGGUCUACCAAUCUACGACGGGGAGCGGAAAACUUUGCUUGACAGAAUUGAGUUCCAUGAGUCGGAUCUUCUUUCUUGCUGUAGAGACAGCAAGAUAGAGCUUGAUUGCAUUGUUGGAUGCAUACCACAGGUUCUUGACCCCAAUCCAGAGGUGAUGCCAAAUAUUAAAAUUAAUAAUUCAAGUGAGGAGUUCUUGUACUCUCGGUGCUACUACUGUGCCUUUCAGGGUGUUGCUGAGGACCAAUUUGGCCUUGGGUUGAUUGCUCGUGCAGUUGAAGAAGGGAUAGCUCUCAUAAAGCCUAUGGGUAUCAUGAUAUUCAGCAUGGGAGGCCGACCGGGUCAAGUUUUAUGUGAACGCUUAUUUUUACGCCGUGGAUUUCGCAUCAAUAAUCUCUGGCAAUCAAAACUUAUGCAGGCUGCCGACACAGAUCUUUCAGAUUUAGUUGAAAUCGAGGAAAAUAGCCCACAUCGAUUUGAAUUCUUUGUGGAUCUUGGUGGGGAUCAACCUAUCUCCGCACGCACAGCCUGUGCAUACAUGAAAUCUGGUGGCUGCGUUUCACAUGCUUUGUCUAUGUAUAGUUGUCAUCUUCGCCAGCCCGACCAGGUGAAGAAAAUAUUUGACUUUCUUAAAGAUGGAUUCCCUGAAGUCAGCAGCUCCUUGGAUUUGUCCUUUGAUGACAAUUCUGUUGCUGAUGAAAAAAUAUCCUUCCUAGCAUACCUAGCUAGCUUUUUGAAAGAGAACAAGUCCAAUCCUUGUGAGCCUCCAGCUGGAUGUUUAAACUUCCGGAAUCUUGUUACUGGAUUUAUGAAGGCUUACUACCACAUCCCGUUAACUCCUGAUAAUGUUGUUGUAUUCCCUUCUCGUGCUGUAGCGAUAGAAAAUGCUCUUCAGUUGUUCUCGCCGGCGCUUGCAAUUGUUGAUAAGCAUCUGACCAGACACUUGCCUAAACAAUGGUUAACAUCUUCAACAAUUGAGGAAAGAGCAGAUUGUACCGAAGCUGAAAACAUAGUAACUGUAAUUGAAUCACCACGCAAAUGGGACUUGCUGAUUGAGUUUAUCAGGAAACUGAAGCCUCAAGUUGUUGUUACUGGCAUGGCUCAGUUCGACGCUAUCAGGACUGCUGCUUUUGUGAACUUGCUAAACGUAACGAAAGAUGUUGGUUCAUGGUUAUUCCUGGAUAUUUCAGAACAUCUGGAGUUGUCUCGUGUGCCAAGCUCGAAUAGUGUGUUGCGAUAUCUUGCUGGAAACACCCUACCUUCGCAUGUAGCUAUACUGUGCGGUUUAGUAAAGAAUCAGGUUUAUUCUGAUCUGGAAGUUGCUUUCACCAUUUCUGAACAGGCGGCUUUCUGCGAGGCAUUGUCACAAACUGUUGAGCUAUUGGAAGGGCACACUUCUGUGAUCAGCCAGCAGUAUUAUGGCUGUCUUCUCCAUCAGCUGUUAGCAUUUCGAAUUUGCGAGCCGCAUGCACAGCAAGAGAGACGACCUGCAUUAGUGCUGCCUCAGAGGAUGAUAGGAUUCUCUAAUUCUGCCAUAUCUGCCAUAAAAGAAGCUGAAUUUUCCCUUCCCGAUUCCAAGGAAUCUUGUGUCAUUCAUAUGGAUUUAGAUCGGAGCUUCUUGCCAAUACCUUCUGCAGUGAAGGCCUCCAUUUUUGAAAGCUUUGCUAGGCAGAACAUCAUGGAUUCUGAAACUGAUGUUCGAUCCAGCAUUCAGAGGCUGUUGAAACGUAACUAUAAUUACCCAGUAGACUCUGAUUCUGACAUUAUAUAUGGUAGUACCAGUCUGGCACUCUUCAACAAGCUUGUUCGUCGCUGCGUGCAAGAGCGAGGCAUCUUUGUUUUCCCCUUGGGCACCAAUGGUCAUUAUGUCUCGGCAGCAAAGUUUCUGAACGCAAACACCCUGACUAUUCCAACAAAAUCAAGUUCAGGCUUUAAGAUCGAACCAAGUGCUCUAGAAGACACACUUAAUAACAAGGAACCGUUUUCGCGGGCGUGGGUGUAUAUUUCUGGCCCCACAAUCAACCCUUCUGGUUUCCUGUACAGUGCCAAGGAGAUAGAAGAGCUGCUUUAUAUCUGUGCUAGAAAUGCAGCUAGGGUAGUCAUAGAUACCUCCUUCUCUGGUCUGGAGUUCCAAACCGAUGACUGGCCCUUCCCUGGUGUCCAGUUCCCAUUCAAUCGCUGGCCUUGUUGGGAUUUAGAAGGAUGUCUUGACGAUAUGGCUGGCCAUGUUGCCCCUGUUUAUCUGCUCGGAGAGCUAUCGCUUGAGCUGACCAUGGCUGGGCUUAAAUUUGGGUUUCUCAUCUCGAAAGACCGGUCCUUGGAAUAUAGUUUCCCAAUCUUGAGUCAGCCACAUAGCACACUGAAGUACACUUUCAGAAAAUUGUUGGGUCUCAAGUACGAGUUGGAUGAGCAUUUCUCUAAUCUCAUUGCGGAGCAAAGGGAGACACUGAAGGGUCGUGCCAACCACUUGAUGAAGACACUCGAGAACUGUGGCUGGGAUGUUGUUGGUUGUCAUGGUGGUAUCUCGAUGCUGGCCAAACCAACCGCCUACAUUGGCAAAUUAUUCAGGGUCAACUGUUUCGAAGGCACGCUCAAUGGUUGCAACAUCAGGGAGGCGCUUCUUAGAUCCACUGGAUUGUGUAUAAGCAGCAGCACAUGGACCGGGAUAACAGACUACUGCCGGUUCAACUUUGCCCUCGAGAGUGGUGAAUUCAAGCGGGCAAUGGAUUGCAUAACUCGGUUCAAGGAGUUGGUUCUGGGAGGCUCAGAUGAAUCGUAA